rnacentral:rRNA from 1 species
ACGUAGGUGGCAAGCGUUAUCCGGAAUCAUUGGGCGUAAAGGGUGCGUAGGUGGCGUACUAAGUCUGUAGUAAAAGGCAAUGGCUCAACCAUUGUAAGCUAUGGAAACUGGUAUGCUGGAGUGCAGAAGAGGGCGAUGGAAUUCCAUGUGUAGCGGUAAAAUGCGUAGAUAUAUGGAGGAACACCAGUGGCGAAGGCGGUCGCCUGGUCUGUAACUGACACUGAGGCACGAAAGCGUGGGGAGCAAAUAG